AUAUAUAUAUAUGUGUGUAUGUAUGUCGGAAAUGGAUUUUGAACUGGGAAUCUUUAUCUUUGUGCUACGUGUUGAUGAUCUAACUUAUUCAACAGAUCAAAACCAGACUAAUUUAAACUGGUUUGGAAAAUUACUGUUUUUUUAUUUUAUUGACUAGAACCUAAAAAAAAAAAGAACUAAACUGUGACAGUAUGCAGUAUGGCUUCCCCCCCCCCACCCACCACCACCACCAAAAAAAGAUCAAAUUAACUAAAUCUCAAAAUUUAUUCCUACUUUUUUUGUAAUCUUUGUGCCUGUAAUUCAGAUCCAUGCUUCCAGAUUAUUUUUUCUAUGGGUUCACAUGAGUUUAUGGUGUGAUAUAUUUUUUGAAGUUUGUAACUGCUGAUCUGUAAAUUACAAACGCUACAGCAGUAUCUAUUUUUUUAACAUUUAUAUUAGUGUGAACACGCCAGCAGCGCAUGCUAAUUCCAAUUUUUGGCUCCUAACUUUUCAUGACGAUUCCACCAACUCGGUUAUUUUAUCCACACGUUAACCUCAAAUAUCAGCACUGAAUGGGAACGAGCACGUCUCAAGUGUGCGUGCUGCAAAGUAACGCAGCUACAAUUGUGCACCUACUGACUGCAUAUAAACAUGACUGUUGACAACAGACGUCGCUGCUCAGUGUUAUGAAAGUCACGAUCUGUGUACGGAUUUAUUGUUUUGGUCAUUUUUGAAAAACUAAGUGUGCUGUCACACCUUUUUGUGUUGACAGUUCCAACAUCACUGCUGAUUUAUGAGUUGAAUCCUGUUUUUGUUGCUCAUAAUAAUGAGAGUUACGGUAAACAAAAACACUGAUGAAAAUUAUUUAUAAACACCACCAC